CUCCGGGUUGAUCCUGCCGGACCCGACUGCUAUCGGAUUGAGAUUUAGCCAUGCGAGUCGAACGUCCCCCUGUUGCGGGGGGCGUGGCGUACGGCUCAGUAACACGUAGUCAACCUGCCCUGGAGACAAGGACAACCCCGGGAAACUGGGAUUAAUCCUUGAUAGGUCAUCUCAUCUGGAAGGAGAGAUGGCUUAAAGGGGUACGCGGGCUUCUUCCGCGAAUCUGCUCCAGGAUGGGACUGCGUCCGAUCAGGCUGUUGGCGGGGUAAUGGCCCACCAAACCUGUAACCGGUACGGGCCUUGAGAGAGGUGGCCCGGAGAUGGACACUGAGAGAAGGGUCCAGGUCCUACGGGGCGCAGCAGGCGCGAAACCUUCGCAAUGCGCGAAAGCGUGACGAGGUUAAUCCGAGUGACUCCCGCUGAGGGGGUCUUUUGUCAGCUGUAAAUAGGCAGGCGAAUAAGGGGAGGGCAAGCCUGGUGUCAGCCGCCGCGGUAAUACCAGCUCCUCGAGUGGUCGGGGCGAUUAUUGGGCCUAAAGCAUCCGUAGCCGGUUCCGUAGGUCCUCUGUUAAAUCCAACCGCUUAACGGUUGACCUGCAGAGGAUACCGCGGGACUAGGAGGCGGGAGAGGCGGACGGUACUCCGCGUGUAGGGGUAAAAUCCUUUGAUCCGCGGAAGACCACCAGUGGCGAAGGCGGUCCGCCAGAACGCGCUCGACGGUGAGGGAUGAAAGCUGGGGGAGCGAACCGGAUUAGAUACCCGGGUAGUCCCAGCCGUAAACGAUGCUAGCUAGAUGAUUCAUUCGCAAGUCGCGAAUGAAGUGUCGCAGGGAAGCCGUUAAGCUAGCCGCCUGGGGAGUACGGUCGCAAGACUGAAACUUAAAGGAAUUGGCGGGGGAGCA
rnacentral:rRNA from 1 species